UACGGGGGGGGCAAGCGUUGUUCGGAAUUACUGGGCGUAAAGGGCUCGUAGGUGGCCAACUAAGUCAGACGUGAAAUCCCUCGGCUUAACCGGGGAACUGCGUCUGAUACUGGAUGGCUUGAGAUUGGGAGAGGGAUGCGGAAUUCCAGGUGUAGCGGUGAAAUGCGUAGAUAUCGAGAGGAACACCUGCGGCGAAGGCGGGUUGCUGGGCCGACACUGACGCUGAGACGCGAAAGCGUGGGGAGCAAACAGG
rnacentral:rRNA from 1 species